UGGGGAAUUUUGGACAAUGGGCGAAAGCCUGAUCCAGCAAUGCCGCGUGCAGGAAGAAGGCCUUCGGGUUGUAAACUGCUUUUGUACGGAACGAAACGGUCUGCCCUAAUACGGCGGGCUAAUGACGGUACCGUAAGAAUAAGCACCGGCUAACUACGUGCCAGCAGCCGCGGUAAUACGUAGGGUGCGAGCGUUAAUCGGAAUUACUGGGCGUAAAGCGUGCGCAGGCGGUCUUGUAAUACAGUCGUGAAAGCCCCGGGCUUAACCUGGGAACUGCAUUUGUGACUGCAUAGCUGGAGUGCGGCGGAGGGGGAUGGAAUUCGGCGUGUAGCAGUGAAAUGCGUAGAUAUGCGGAGGAACACCGAUGGCGAAGGCAAUCCCCUGGGCCUGCACUGACGCUCAUGCACGAAAGCGUGGGGAGCAAACA
rnacentral:rRNA from 1 species